UUGAUAGGCCGGGAUGGGAUGAUAUUAAAUUAAUAAGUUGUCAUUCAAUCAAGAAGAUUCUUUGUUACCAUUUGCAAUGCUUGUAUUGGUAUGGGAGGUCCAAAAUCAUUUAUCCAAUGUAUUGGUAUGGGAGGUCCAAAAUCAUUUAUCCAAAUCAAGAAUAGAAGAGAAAGAACCUUUCCUAUUUUGGAUGCAAGAACCAAAAUGAUUUAUAGGUGAAAUU
rnacentral:lncRNA from 1 species